GCCCAGACUCCUACGGGAGGCAGCAGUAGGGAAUCUUCGGCAAUGGACGAAAGUCUGACCGAGCAACGCCGCGUGAGUGAAGGAGGUUUUCGGAUCGUAAAACUCUGUUGGUAGAGAAGAACGUUGGUGAGAGUGGAAAGCUCAUCAAGUGACGGUAACUACCCAGAAAGGGACGGCUAACUACGUGCCAGCAGCCGCGGUAAUACGUAGGUCCCGAGCGUUGUCCGGAUUUAUUGGGCGUAAAGCGAGCGCAGGUGGUUUAUUAAGUCUGGUGUAAAAGGCAGUGGCUCAACCAUUGUAUGCAUUGGAAACUGGUAGACUUGAGUGCAGUAGAGGAAAGUGGAAUUCCUAGUGUAGCGGUGGAAUGCGUAGAUAUUAGGAGGAACAUCAGUGGCGAAGGCGACUUUCUGGACUGUAACUGACACUGAGGCACGAAAGUGUGGGGAGCAAACAGGAUUAGAUACCCGAGUAG
rnacentral:rRNA from 1 species